rnacentral:snoRNA from 1 species
GGGCGGUGAUGAUUCCCAAUCUUAUUUCACCGUCGACAGAAUGAGACGUGUUGAUAACCAUUCCUACACCGAAGCUCCUUCUGAUGCCC